AUGGAUGUGCAUUCAGCUCCAUCUUGUCCUACUGAGGCGAGGGCACUUGUUGAGCAUCUAGUUGGGCAGUUUGCUUCCGGCAUGACCAGCUUGCUCAGGAAGUUGGUUGAGGGUUGGAUGACACUUAAUGGCUCUGACAGCGACGCGGUUGCGAGGCAGUUCACAUCAUUCGUUGGAGAAUGGACACAUCGACCAACUGGUUGCCAUGGCCGGUACGACUACAACAGCUCUCAGGAGCUCCCUAACACGCAAGAUGAGAUGUUGGUCUCGACAAGGAUGAUGACGAUGACAUGGAGAAUGUGCAACAUGAAACCGAUGAUGAUGAACAUGUUGAAGUUCGUGCAGGUGGUAAGAAUGAUAAGGUUAUACCAAAUGUUCCUCCGCCGGAGGAAGUCAUUGAACAAACAGUUGCGAGAGACACAGGGGUGUCGCUCUCAAAGAGGGGCAGGGCCCCAGAGGAUGUUGGGCAGGGCUCUGUUGGCAAGAGGUCUAGGACCGAUCCCAUAG
rnacentral:rRNA from 1 species